rnacentral:lncRNA from 1 species
AUGGCAGACCGGCCUCAUCAGCCCCUCUCCAAAGGGCUCCGUGCAGCAGCCCCAAGGCAGGUUCCUAUCUCCCUCGUGAGGUUCCAUUUAAUGCAUCACAAAGGACAGAAGGGACUCAGGGCCAAAGUGGGGGGACCUCCACUACCCAACCUUCCUCGGCACCCGGGUCCCUCUAGAGCCUGGUAUGUCCUCCCCCAGGGCCACUGUCCACCCCUCCACCCCACACAUGAGAAAACCAGCUGUUUGCGGGAGGCUCCUCCAGGACAGUGCCAGGCGAUCACCUCUGUCGAAGCUUCCCUCCAAAGGAAGAGCCUUGUCUGUGCCUUGAUACCGCGAGCGGUCCCACAGGUGCUUGGGUUAGCACAGGACCGAGUGCUCCACAGACGGUUUCAGAGGCUGAGAAAUGGCAGAGCCAAGUCCAAGGUCAACCAUGAAGUCAUCUGCAGAGCCAACUUGUCUCAUUGCUCGGUCGGCCGUUGCUUGUAGCUCCGGCUGCUGUCGGGUUGGGUUCUUCGGAAGGUGCACACCCACGCCGUGCUCUCGUGACUCACGGGGGCUCCUAAAGGUGGUCUGGCCCUGACGUAUGGUUUCCGUGGGGUCAGAGGCUUGUCGCUGGACCAGAGGAGAAGGAGAACCGGCAGGAGAAGAGGGGGGGUAUCUCAUGGACAGACAGAGGACAGAAAGUGAGAAAAUGAGGGAAAGGACAGUACCGAUCAGAGUCCUGUUUACAGAAACCCCCAGGAAAGAUGCCCAGAGAGGAAAAAGUCAGAUGUGAAUCCUGGGUGAGAAGUCUGACGCUGCGCCAGGAGUGGGAGCCACCGUAAGCAUAAGGCAGGUCUCCACUCUUGGAAGGGGGGGGUCCAGGUGUUUGGGGACCUGGGAGAGUGUAAUCCACCCCAACACGGGGCUGGUCCAGAACAGAAGAGAGCUGAGAGAGAGCGCCCAGAGGCCUCUGGGGUUUUAGAAUGAAGCUUUGGGUACACGUUUCUCCCUCUGCUCACCCAGCAUUGGGGGUUCCUGACAGCACGUCGAGUGUUGGGCUCGUGGGGCAGAGCUGCUCUUGUCACACCCCAGCUCGGCAUGUGCUCCCUGAGAGCAGGAAGAGGGUCUUUAUGUGGAGCCCCUCGACCAGAUGCCCCGUGACUUGUGCAGGAUGGGCUCAGUGAACAUCCAAGCCUCG